GCAUCCAUAGCUCAGUGAUAGAGUGCUCGUCUGCCACGCGAGCGGCCUGGGUUUGAUUCACAGCCGAUGUA
rfam:Ancylostoma duodenale strain Zhejiang A_duodenale-1.0_Cont10385.1, whole genome shotgun sequence.